rnacentral:rRNA from 1 species
UACGGGAGGCAGCAGUGAGGAAUAUUGGUCAAUGGGCGCAAGCCUGAACCAGCCAUGCCGCGUGAAGGAAUAAGGCCCUAUGGGUCGUAAACUUCUUUUGUGGUGGAGCAAUAAGGUGUACGCGUACACCGAUGAGAGUACAUCACGAAUAAGCAUCGGCUAACUCCGUGCCAGCAGCCGCGGUAAU